AAAUAACAAUAAAAGUUGGUAUAUAUUUACAUAUAAACAAAAUCAAAAAUCUUUAUCACAUUUCUAAAGCAAUGAACAAAUCAAUUGUUUCUGUAAAACCUUUCAUGAAGAUGGUCAGACCGUUUUCUUCCAUUGUCUUCUUCUUUAGACUUAAAACAACCUAACAGUUUUUUUUAAAAGCAUAGUAAAACUUGGAAUUUAAUAUAAAAUGAUCAAAUACAUGAAAUUUAAAAUGUAAAUUAGUUUGCAUAAAAAACCAAUAAACCAACUAUUUUUUAUUGAUAAUUUAUUUUCCUGACAGGAGUGGGAGUUUGAGAAUAUUAUUCUUCAGGAAACAAUUGGAUCCUCUUUUAAAGUGGUACCUAACACUACAGGGAGAUAACUCUGUAAAAUCAGCUUAAACGUUUUAAUUACGUUGUGUUUUGAGGGAAUAGUAAGCUUCCCAAUGAUCAAAAUAAGUGUUUGUCAAACUGCUAUAUAACCAGUGUAAUUUUUCUGAUAAAACGGUUAGUUAAAAAUUUUUGAAAUUUUUAUAUUUUUG
rnacentral:lncRNA from 1 species